GUGAAUCUGACCCAGGACCUGCUAUAUCCCUUUGCUGUAGGAGCAGCACUGGGUGCACCGUGAAAGCCUCUGUGAGAGUGAAAACACUGGGCCAGCAGAAAAACCAUGGCAGUCUUCCGGGGCUGAGAGCGCGCAGGACGGAAACGUCUGUACUUCUGCUUGCAAAGCAUCGACUCUUCAGCAUCCAGGCAAAGUCACCCUUCAUCAUCACUUCAGGGGAGUUUUCUUUGUGCCCCAAUGGGACAAAUGCCUCAGGAGGACAAUGAGGUGGUCUCAGAAGAGUGACGGCAAUGACAGGCCAGAAAAAGGAAUCCAUCUGUGCAAGGUUCAGUCACUAUCCUGCUCCUUACCUGCAGUGUGAUCUCCAUCCCUUUCCUCACCGCUCUGUGCCCAACCUGGUGAUGUGAGACUACUUAUGACUACUAAGCAAACUUUCUACAAAUUUUAAAAGGUGUACGAUGCAAGUACAGACUAUCUAACAACACUGGAACACUGUGUAGGGGAGGGCACAGCGCAGUGCUGAUUCUGCCUUCUGUGCCCACCAUAUGCAAUCAGUUGAAUGGAAACCCACACGCAUCAGAUGUGAUACAUCCUCCGAGGAUUCAAUGGGAUGCCGUUUGACCGGGUUGAGCAGGGGAAGCAGCUGCUGUCUUAGCAGUCGCCCCGUGUGAGCGACACUAAUGAGACAGAUGAAAUAUUUGAGAGCCCGAGACUGCUCAAGAACCACUGCCACGAUGCCAGUGUCACAGUGGGAUGACAUCAGGUCUAAACCAGCCUAUCAGAAUCCUGCUCCAGUUCUCUCCAGAAGAACUGAAGAUCUCACUCUCUGUCGGUUCCAGAUGCAGAGCUUUUGGGACUCUUCUGCACAUGUGUCCUGGACCUUUGUGAGUAACAGGUCAUACCCACUCCCCAGCCAAGUUUACCAUGCCCCAAUCUCCUGCCUCAGGGAGGCUCAAUGUUGGUCACUGCAAAGAUCCUGCAGGUCCCCUUGCCAUCCGUGCCUCUAGACUGCAUUCUCCUUCCCUGAGUACAUCCUAU